rnacentral:rRNA from 1 species
UGAGUUUGAUCAUGGCUCAGGAUGAACGCUAGCGGCAGGCUUAACACAUGCAAGUCGAGGGGCAGCAUGUCCAGCAAUGGAUGAUGGCGACCGGCGGAAGGGUGCGUAACGCGUGAGCAACAUGCCCUAUACAGGGAGAUACACCAGGGAAACUUGGUCUAAUAUCCCAUAGCAUUCAUUGAAGGCAUCUUUAAUGAAUUAAAGCUUCGGUGGUAUAGGAUUGGCUCGCGUGACAUUAGCCAGAUGGUGAGGUAACGGCUCACCAUAGCAAUGAUGUCUAGGGGUUUUGAGAGGAAGGCCCCCCACACUGGGACUGAGACACGGCCCAGACUCCUACGGGAGGCAGCAGUGAGGAAUAUUGCGCAAUGGGGGAAACCCUGACGCAGCGACGCCGCGUGAGCGAAGAAGGCCUUAGGGUCGUAAAGCUCUGUUGUAAGGGACGAAUGUUUAUCUGGCUAACAGUCAGAUAAAGUGACGGUACCUUACCAGCAAGCCCCGGCUAACUACGUGCCAGCAGCCGCGGUAA